AUUGAACGCUGGCGGCGUGCCUAACACAUGCAAGUCGAGCGGUAGCAGGCGUAGCAAUACGUGCUGACGAGCGGCGAACGGGUGAGCAAUGCUUCGGAAUCUGCCCAAUGGUGGGGAAUAACCAGCCGAAAGGUUGGCUAAUACCGCAUACGCCUACGGGGAAGGCAGGGGAGUCGCAAGACCUUGCGCCGAUGGAUGAGCCGAAGUCGGAUUAGCUAGUUGGUAGGGUAACGGCCUACCAAGGCGACGAUCCGUAGCUGGUCUGAGAGGACGACCAGCCACACUGGGACUGAGACACGGCCCAGACUCCUACGGGAGGCAGCAGUGGGGAAUAUUGGACAAUGGGCGAAAGCCUGAUCCAGCGACGCCGCGUGUGUGAAGAAGGCCUGCGGGUUGUAAAGCACUUUUAGUGGGGAAGAACAGAUUCGGGUCAAUACCCCGGAGCCCUGACGUUACCCACAGAAGAAGCACCGGCUAACUCCGUGCCAGCAGCCGCGGUAAAG
rnacentral:rRNA from 1 species